rnacentral:rRNA from 1 species
AUGUGAAAGCCCCGGGCUUAACCUGGGAGUGGCAUUUGAGACUGGCAGGCUAGAGUCUUGUAGAGGGGGGUAGAAUUCCNGGUGUAGCGGUGAAAUGCGUAGAGAUCUGGAGGAAUAUCGGUGGNGAAGGCGGCCCCCUGGACAAAGACUGACGCUCAGAUGCGAAAGCGUGGGUAGCAAACAGGAUUAUAUACCCNGGUAGUCCACGCCGUAAACGAUGUCUACUUGAAGGUUGGGAUCUUGAAUUCUGGCCUUCGGAGCUAACGCGUUNAGUANACCGCCUGGGGAGUACGGUCGCAAGAUUAAAACUCAAAUGANUUGACGGGGGCCCGCACANGCGGUGGAGCAUGUGNUUUAAUUC